AACUUUGUGAGGAGAGCUUCUUCUUGAAAUGGAAACGAGGCGACACGUCCUAAAAGAAGCCGAGA
rnacentral:ncRNA from 1 species